rnacentral:rRNA from 1 species
UACGGAGGGGGCUAGCGUUGUUCGGAAUUACUGGGCGUAAAGCGCGCGUAGGCGGCUUUGCAAGUCGGGUGUGAAAUCCCCAGGCUUAACCUGGGAACUGCAUUCGAGACUGCAUUGCUAGAGUAUGGGAGAGGGAAGUGGAAUUUCCGGUGUAGCGGUGAAAUGCGUAGAUAUCGGAAGGAACAUCAGUGGCGAAAGCGACUUCCCGGACCAAUACUGACGCUCAUGUGCGAAAGCGUGGGAGCAACAGG